CGGAAUGUCACUCACUUCUUCAUAUGAUCAUUUAUUUGGUAAGGAUCAUUUCACUUACCUAAGAUUUGUGAAAAAGAAACACAGACCCGAUUGUUUUCCACCUCUUCUGCCAGUGCGAGAAAUACAUCAUAAAAGUUUUUCAGAAUUUCUACAAAGCGUAAAAGAUCAAUUUAGGUCAGACGUACCUUGUGCAGUACUUAUCAAUACAUACAAAAAUCCUAUAAAGUUGUUACAAAACGUCAGCCAACCUAUUUUGAUGAAAGCGAUGAAAGAUUUAUCAUCUGUCACCCAAAAAGACGUAUAUGAUGCCAAUUUUGAAACGAAGUAUAAAUUAAUAGAAGUCUUCACACAAAGACCUAGAUAUGUUCGAGAAUUAGCAUCAGAAUUUAUUAGCGAAGUGAUGAAAAAUCAAGUAUACUUUGCAUUGCAUUGGAGAUACAACUUUGAGUAUAGAUGUAAAACAUCACGUAACUUUUGUCCUGAAAUGAAAAAAGUUAAGACCGCAAACUUAUCGGAAGCAAUUUUGUUUGCUGGCAGAAAACUGAGCAUUCAAGAGAAAUGGGCUAGAACAAGUGAAAAUUUUCGCCAAAAUAACUCCACACCCCAGCUACCUAUGUAUGUAAAUUGACAGAUUUAUCAACAAACUGCCAAACCCCAAAAAUAGUCAAAUUUUAUUUGGCAACUGCUGCUACGGAUUAUGAGACAAUAAAACAUCAGAUUAGAGAUGCAACUUUCCAAAACGAGUUUUUUCGAAAGAUUGCGAAAAAUGAGAAAGACAAAAAAGAGUUCGAAUAUUACAGAGAUCAACGGUGCUGGAAAAUGCAGCUUUACAAUAAACUUGAUCUUUAUCGAUUCAUCAGCUCAAAAUAUCCAGAGCAAAAAUGUUCCGCUAUCUGGCGAGAUACACAUGAACUAAUAGCUUUGGUAGAGAAUGAAUUAUGCAAACAAAGUUCAGUAUUUAUCUAUUCACCCGGAUCAGUAUGGUCGGAAGUUGCCAUGCAAACCAAAAAUAACAAUUUGUCAAUUCGGAACGUAUUUUCAGAGAUUGAUCAAGUAAUGAAUAUGGUUUGAUUCACGAGGGAGACUAUUCGACAAAAAAUGACGGAUGUACGUGAAACGUUUAUUGCGUGCACACUCCGGAGAAUGAUUAAUUAAGAUUCUUUGGAUUUUCUACAAUUAUAUGCUACCUCAGAAUACAAAGUUGAAGAAGAUGAUGGCGUUGGAUUAAAAACCUUUUCAUUUGUAUUUUAUAUGCUAAAUUGUAAAAUGAUUAUAUUGUCACCAUAGAUAUGAUUAACGAAAAGAACUAUUGACUAUAUAUAUUAUAUAAUCAACUGUAUCUCAAAACAACUGAACCUCACUCAAAACUUAACUGAAAAGUAAAAAAAAUCAUUAAUUUCGUUUCGCUUUCUUCUCAUUGAUAAUACCGAAUUAAAUUACCUACUAUUGAUUUAAGGUUCAAAGUUUGA